rnacentral:lncRNA from 1 species
GGAACAGAUUAUGUCUGCAAAGAAUUUCUCUUCUCUAUUCUUUCUCAGAAUCCCUCUCUGUAAGGUAUGUAUUAUUCUGAUGAGUCCGCAUUCAUCUUAAUUAGCUGCAGCGGAGGCUCAUGAGAGGAAGGAGGCUGCAAAUGCAAUAACGUGGUUUGCUGAGCCGUAACUUGACACUGCCUUAAACCGCGGUGGAGAUGUGGCUGGCUGCCGCCAGAGAAAAGGAGCAUGGGAGCACAGUACCUUAUCCGAAACCUCUUCCUCACUAUUACCUCUCACCCACACAUAAUUGAGGGUUGUGGAGGAUAGUCUACUUUAUUUUACUCUACACUGGGGUGUAUUCUCCUCCGCAGAUAGAUGAAAUGAGGUGGUGAAUGAUGAUUUUGUAGAAGACGAGGUGUUAUUUUAUAUUAGGCAGUCCUAAGUGCUCGGGUAACUUUAAUUCACUGUCUAUGCCCAUGUCGUUACCUUUUCUGUAGGCACUCAUUGGUAUUCUUUCACUUCAGUCUUUUUUUCCAUUCCUUUAGACAGUUUUGCACCAUAUUUCCACCAGUCACGGGGGACACCACUCGGAGUCGCACAAAAAACGUCCGUCACGGAUUGUCUUCCUCCCAAAUUUGAAUUAGUGCUCUGAUUACACUGAGAGGGGUGAGCGGGACACAGAUGGAUUAUGGACGGGAUCUGUAACUGAUGCCGCUGCCAGCUUCUAAUAAAAAAGACAAAAGAACAGUUCAACCCAAAUAUUCAGGUGUGUGGAGCACAUUUUAUGGAGGACUGUUUCCUGAUCCUGGCAGAGAAGACUACAAUGGCAGCUGUUCUGACUCACAGUCUGUAAGUACAUUUACAUAUGUAAAGGAUUUGCCACUGAUGAUUCAAAUGAGAGUUUUGAGCAGUGGUUUUCAAUUCCAGUCCUCGUGCCCCCCUGCUCUGCACAGUAUGUUUUUCUUAUGGCUUCAGACGUUUGUUCUAUUCGAACUUAAGUGCCCUGAGAAAUGGACAUCACAGGAUAUUCCGCCAUGAUUCCAGUUCGAUGCAAACAUAUAUGUUCCAUUCAAAGUGCAUUGAAGUGUGCGAGACGUGAAUUUAAAUUGUUUUUAUUUACAGAGGUAUAUGAUGUCACACUUGUCCAUGUGUGAAGACGUUGUGCAGCUCAAAUCCAUGAAUGAAUGUUUCAGAGUGAGGUAAACUUCAACAGAUUUCCCCAGCUCAGGGAGUAGGGAGCAAUGAACACUGUGUAAGGACCAUGUCAAUGGAAACACAGUUCAUGCAUGGAGCUCUGUUCUAACGAUCUGAUUAUCUGAAUCAGGUGUGUUAACAAAGAGAGACGUGUAAAAUAUGCAGAGCUGGGGGGCACAAGGACUGGAAUUGAGAACCGCUGGUGUAGAGUAGCGCUUGUUGUUUGUCGUUUCUCUGAUCACAAAUGCAGACAUGGUUUUAUGUUUAUGCAGCGCAAUGCAGCGCAAUGCUUAAAAACACAGUAUAAGUCAUUAUAAUCCAUAAUUAUGUCCCCACUGGGGUGUAACAUUUCUGUCACACGCUUGAGGUAUUCGGCCAAUCACAAAGCACUGGAUUGUUGGCCAAUCAGAGCACACCUCGCUUUCCAGACCAUUGAGCUUUGUAAAAAUGACAUGUUUCAGAAAGGCAGGGCAUAGAGGAGAAACAAUAAUAUGGAGUAUAAACAUUUCACUACACCAAAUACACAAAUAAUGUUCUUUUUAGCAACAUCAUAUGACCCCUUUAAGAAACUGUGGUGCUGAUUGGUGGCCAGGGCAUUGUUUAGGAGUUAUUAAGGUGUUCUCAGUGGUUGCUAGAUGGUUAAUUACUUCCCAGAAGUCAAAAGAAUGCAUGCAUGCCCG